rnacentral:rRNA from 1 species
CCUUUGUACACACCGCCCGUCGCUACUACCGAUUGAAUGGCUUAGUGAGACCUCCGGAUUGGGUGCAUUCGACUCGCAAGUUUCGAUGCGUCUGAAAAGUUGAUCAAACUUGGUCAUUUAGAGG